CAGUAGCCACGGUAAUACGUAGGUGGCAAGCGUUGUCCGGAAUUAUUGGGCGUAAAGGGCUCGCAGGCGGUUUCUUAAGUCUGAUGUGAAAGCCCCCGGCUCAACCGGGGAGGGUCAUUGGAAACUGGGAAACUUGAGUGCAGAAGAGGAGAGUGGAAUUCCACGUGUAGCGGUGAAAUGCGUAGAGAUGUGGAGGAACACCAGUGGCGAAGGCGACUCUCUGGUCUGUAACUGACGCUGAGGAGCGAAAGCGUGGGGAGCGAACAGGAUUAGAUACCCCGGUAGUCCCUGUCUCUUAACA
rnacentral:rRNA from 1 species